rnacentral:rRNA from 1 species
GACGAACGCUGGCGGCGUGCUUAACACAUGCAGGUCGAGCGGUAAGGCCCUUUCGGGGGUACACGAGCGGCGAACGGGUGAGUAACACGUGGGUGACCUGCCCUCAGCUCUGGGAUAAGCCUGGGAAACCGGGUCUAAUACUGGAUAUGACUCCAUGACGCAUGUUGUGGGGUGGAAAGCCUUGUGCGGCUGAGGAUGGGCCCGCGGCCUAUCAGCUUGUUGGUGGGGUGANGGCCUACCAAGGCGACGACGGGUAGCCGGCCUGAGAGGGCGACCGGCCACACUGGGACUGAGACACCGGCCCAGACUCCGUACGGGAGGCAGCAGGUGGGGAAUCUUGCGCAAGUGGGACGAAAGCUUGACGCAGCGACGCCGCGUGA